rnacentral:misc_RNA from 1 species
UGGUGGAGAUCAAUAAAUUCUUCAGGUAGCAAAUUACAGUCACAAAUCCCACAUAAAUGCAGGAGAGGCCUACAAUAAGUUACUUUACCCACCAGAAAAACAGCCCACCUACACAUCCUACCUGAAGAAUUUAUUGAUCUCCACCAGCAAUUGACAAUUGGAAAAACAAUGCGGAAUGAUGCUACAAAUCCAUAAAAUUUGCUAGAUUUUGAGAAUGCAAACCCAAAAAAUGGCCCUCCUACUUAACGAUUUUCACAGCCUGUCUCUUCUUCAUCAAAUCAGCUUUUGCUUCCAUCUUCACCGGCACUGGAGCUGAGAAAACUAAACUUCCAUAUUGAUCCUGGCAAGCCCUAUGAAUUUCAUAAUCAUUUCUUAUAGGAUUCCCCUCACCAUCACUGCUCUGUGUAGAUGCUGCAUUCUCUUCCUCAAAAACUUCACCAUCCUCAGUACCUUUAGAGAUCCCCUUUCUCUCUUCAAUUACAUUGUAAUCCAUAGUCUCUCCAUGAUCAUCAUCACUGGAAUUGCUCCCCUCAGCUAAAAUACCUUCUCCAUUUAAUACUGACUCAUAGUUGCCACUGAAAACCCUAUACGCAUUCCCAUUCUCAGCAAAGCUGACAGUUUUCUU